rnacentral:rRNA from 1 species
UUGGAAACGAUGGCUAAUACCGCAUAAUGUCUACGGACCANAGAGGGGGACCUUCGGGCCUCUCGCUUCAGGAUAUGCCCAGGUGGGAUUAGCUAGUUGGUGAGGUAAUGGCUCACCAAGGCGACGAUCCCUAGCUGGUCUGAGAGGAUGAUCAGCCACACUGGAACUGAGACACGGUCCAGACUCCUACGGGAGGCAGCAGUGGGGAAUAUUGCACAAUGGGCGCAAGCCUGAUGCAGCCAUGCCGCGUGUAUGAAGAAGGCCUUCGGGUUGUAAAGUACUUUCAGUCGUGAGGAAGGCGNUGNAGUUAAUAGNUNNNNCGUUUGACGUUAGCGACAGAAGAAGCACCGGCUAACUCCGUGCCAGCAGCCGCGGUAAUACGGAGGGUGCGAGCGUUAAUCGGAAUUACUGGGCGUAAAGCGCAUGCAGGUGGUUUGNUAAGUCANAUGNGAAAGCCCGGNCUCAACCUC